rnacentral:rRNA from 1 species
GUGAGGAAUCUUCCACAAUGGGCGAAAGCCUGAUGGAGCAACGCCGCGUGAAGGAUGAAGGUCUUCGGAUUGUAAACUUCUUUUAUGAGUGAAGAAUAUGACGGUAACUCAUGAAUAAGCACCGGCUAACUACGUGUCAGCAGCCGCGGUCAUACGUAGGGUGCAAGCAUUAUCCGGAGUGACUGGGCGUAAAGAGUUGCGUAGGCGGUUAUGUAAGCGAAUAGUGAAACCUGGUGGCUCAACCACACAGACUAUUAUUCGAACUGCAUAACUCGAGAAUGGUAGAGGUAACUGGAAUUUCUUGUGUAGGAGUGAAAUCCGUAGAUAUAAGAAGGAACACCAAUGGCGUAGGCAGGUUACUGGGCCAUUUCUGACGCUAAGGCACGAAAGCGUGGGGAGCGAACCGGAUUAGAUACCCUUGUAGUCC